CGGGCCACACGCUGUGAGGAUCACUCCAAAACAUACUCCAUUCCACGUAUCAUUUUUGUGCAGUUUGUGCGUCCAUGUGUGUGUGUUCAAGAACUCGCACACUGCACGCACGCGAACCGAGCCAGACCCAAAGCGAGCUCCUCCUACCCCCCUCCCCUCUCCGUUCUCUGACCAGCUCUCCCUCCCCCUGCUCACCAAUGCUCAGUUCGGUGUGUGUCUCCUCUUUCAAAGGGCGCAAGGGUGGGAACAAGUCGUCCAGCAAAGCAUGUUACAGCGCAGACAUGACUUGUCCGUCAGAGAGCGAGAAAAUAGUGAUAAACUGCGGGGGGAUUCGGCAUGAGACUUACCGCAGCACGCUGAAGACCCUACCCGGGACCCGCUUGUCUUGGCUUACCGAGCCUGAUGCGUUCAGUAACUUUGACUAUGACCCCAAAUCCGACGAGUUCUUCUUUGACCGCCACCCCAACACUUUUGCGUUCAUCCUAAACUAUUACCGCACAGGGAAGUUGCAUUGUCCCAACGAUGUCUGCGGACCUCUCUUUGAGGAGGAGCUCGCUUUUUGGGGGAUCGAUGAGACGGACGUGGAGGCUUGCUGCUGGAUGAACUACCGACAGCAUCGGGAUGCUGAAGAAGCGCUGGACAGCUUCGAGACGCCCGAGCCGGACCUGCCAGAGGACGACCCGGCACUUACGGGUGGUGCGGAUGGGGACUUGAAGAGGUUGUGUCUACAGGAGGACGGGCGGAACGCCAGCUGGUGGAGUAUAUGGCGGCCCCGAAUCUGGGCGCUGUUUGAGGAUCCCUACUCCUCAAAAUACGCCAGGUAUGCGGCGUUCGGCUCGCUCCUGUUCAUCCUCAUCUCCAUCUCAACAUUUUGCUUGGAGACACACGAGGCCUUCAACACCAUCACCAAUAAGACAGAGAAUGUGACAGUGGGGAACGUCACGCGGGAGGAGAUUGUGUUUGAGGUAGUGACUGACAGAUGGCUUACCUAUGUAGAAGGAAUGUGCGUCAUCUGGUUCACCAUCGAGGUGUUCGCCCGUGUCAUCUUCUGCCCAGACAAGGCUGAGUUCUUCAAGAGCAGUUUGAACAUCAUCGACUUUGUAGCUAUCCUACCCUUUUACCUGGAGGUGGCGCUGAGCGGCCUCUCUUCUAAAGCCGCCAAAGAUGUGCUGGGCUUUUUGCGCGUGGUGCGAUUCGUCCGAAUCCUUCGAAUCUUCAAGCUCACGCGCCAUUUUGUGGGGCUAAGAGUGCUGGGCCAUACUCUUCGUGCCAGUACCAAUGAAUUCUUGCUUCUCAUCAUCUUCCUUGCUCUUGGAGUGCUCAUCUUCGCAACUAUGAUUUACUACGCUGAGCGCAUCGGCGCAGACCCAGACGACAUCACAGCAAGCAAACAUACCACCUUCAAAAACAUCCCCAUAGGCUUCUGGUGGGCAGUGGUGACCAUGACGACGCUGGGCUAUGGUGACAUGUAUCCAGAGACGUGGUCUGGUAUGUUAGUGGGCGCCCUUUGCGCCUUGGCGGGUGUGCUGACCAUCGCCAUGCCAGUCCCCGUCAUUGUUAACAACUUCGGCAUGUACUACUCUCUGGCCAUGGCCAAGCAGAAGCUGCCCAAGAAAAAGAAUAAGCACAUCCCACGGGCUCCGCAGCCUGGAUCGCCCAACUACUGUAAACCAGACGCCCUGGCCAUGGCGACUGCCUCGCCACACAGGAUCAUGGGUAAUGUGCUGGGCACUAUGGUGGGCUCUGGAAGCAUGGCAGGAGACUGUCCUCUUGCACAGGAGGAAAUCAUAGAGAUUAACAGAGCAGACUCAAAGCAGAAUGGUGAUGCUGCAAAUGCAGCUCUGGCUAAUGAGGACUGUCCCAACAUAGACCAGGUGCUGGGGCCAGAUGACAGGAGUCCAGCCACUGGUGGUUUGGGAACAGGCACGGGGCGUGAGCGUUACCCCCAUGAUCGGGCCUGCUUCCUCCUCAGUACUGGAGAGUUCCGCACCACAGACAGCAAUGUCAGGAAAGAGAACUAUUCUGAAAGCCCAGUGCUUAUCAGAUAUAUGCAAAAAGAAGCAGUAACUGUGAACUAAGACUAGAACAGAAAAUCCACUUCUUCCUUCACAAACACAUUCCCAAAUGAACGCCUGGCCCCUGUCUCCCAAAACCAGUAUCAACUCCUGUCCAUUCCAUUUGAGCUCAGUCUCCUCAUCACUCAUUCCCAAAACAUGACAUUAUCCAUCUUUUUAACUCUUUCGUUUGUAGCUUUGAAGACCAGAGCAUUAUUAAUGAGGAGAUUGGUAGUUACGUUACCCAUCUGAGUUCUGUUAACCUCUGCUCUUACCCCCUCUGCUGGUUUUACGGGGGAUGAACUGAUGUAGCAUUCAGUAAUGUUGAUCACUAGCGCUGUUUGGUCACAUUAGAGGCUAAGAAUACAGACUUUAGCCCUUUACCUGUUAUUCAUUAGAUUAAAAAGAUAAUUGUAGGCAUUCGUUUGAAUGGACUUGUGACAGAUUUCCUGUUCUCUCAUGUGCAGUGAGUAAAAUCAGUCCAUAUAAUGCUGAUGGGGGGAGAGUGAAAGAUAACAAUGAAAAUAAUUGUGCUCACUACAGUAAUGCAUGUUCAAGAUAGCAAAAUUCUGCAUCCUCGUGCAUCUUGUGGUUUUCCUGUGUGUAGUCUGUAGAGGCAGAGUCGGGGUGAGCAGGGUCGGAGGGGACAAGACAAAUGAGAAAAGCCUGUCCCUAGUUAGCUUAGUAAGUGAACGUCUUGGUGAACAGAUAAAAGGCUGCAUGUGAUCAGGGAGGACACUGUAAAUAAACUCAGUCUUGUACUCAGAUUGCAUGUUGAGGCAACAGCACAGAAACUAUUGUUUGACUUAAGUGUUUAUAAAAAGUGUGGCAUUUCAAAUAGGGAGAGCAGGUCCGUUCACGUGCUUUGACUACAUUACCCAGACUCCUCUCUGUCUUGGUCAGACUUAUGCUCCCCUGUCACUACUCAGGUAUUUCUCUUUUGUUUGUCUAAACCAGUGCUUCCAAAAUGAUGUCAUUUUAAAACAAAGAGAGAGAAAGAGAUUGAUGAAUUAUAUGCAUCCUGUCUACGCAUGCACAUUUGUAAAUACGAAAUAGCCUAAUCUGUUUAACCCUAUCACUCAUUACAAGCCUUCCUUUUCACAUUGUCCUUGUGCUAUGUAUUUCCUUUCACAUCUGUAUUUGUUAUUUCAUAUGCCACUUUCAUUUAUUUUCAUCUGCAAACUCUACUGCUUCCAAAUAACCAAACAAAAAGCCUGGAUGACAUAAUGAGAAAUCAAGAAAAAAUACUCAUUUGUUAAAACUAACAUGGUCUGCCAUUAGUGGAUUACAAAAACUGUAAAUGGAAUCAGGACAGAUUGUGUGUUUGGGGAAACAAGUGGGAGAGUAUUAUGAGGAUUUUCAACAAAUGAAGAAAGGCAUCGGGAAAUGGAGGACAGUUUGGGGAAGAAAGAAAAAAAGAGAGGAGGAAGGGAGCUGAACGCUUCGCAGUUGCUGAGCUUCUGAACUGCCUCUUUUUUUGCAAAAGAAGAGCUCCCCAACUGCAAAACCUAUCCAGAGGCAAACCCCAGGGUCACCACAAGACUAGAGAUGGCUCAGAGGAAGCGAAAGAGAGAAAAUGAGAGAUGAACGGAGCGCUGUGUGAAACCCACUUGAAGAAAACAUGCUAUCACUCUUCUCUCCAUUACUAAUUCUGCUAUUUCAACCUAACAUUGGUGCAAUAAACUGAUGACGAUUCCACAUCCUGGGAUUGUGUGGAACUCUACUAAUUCUUCCAACAGGGCCGGGUUACAAACUGUAGUAUGUCCUUGCACGACCUUUCAAAAACUUUUUUUAGACUACCUGAUGAGCAUUGUGGAAAAUGCACCUGCAAUCCUGCAAAACAAGUGGAAAGCCGCUCAGAUCCUUAUCAAUUUGUAUCCAGUCUUAGAAACAAGUAAUGUGUGGAAAAAUGCCCAUUAUGCACUUCAACGCUAUGCAAUUCAACCACACAUUUGAGUUCAUCAAGCGCUUAAAUCGAAAAGCUUACCCUCAGCCAAACCUUUUUCACUCCUUACCCUUUUUGGACUUCUUGCACAUGCUUUAAAUGAAAAUAGACAACAGCGUCAUGUUUUCUACAUUGUACAAAUGGUUUCCCAUCCAUUUAAUUGGAAAUCUUGUUUUGAGUGUCCUUCUCAGGGCUCGAAGAAACGUGACUGUCGACUAUGAAGAAACGAAAGUCAGCCUCUCUCUUUUCGCUCUCUCUCUCUCUGUUCAGCUCUCUACAUUUCAUCAUUUCUGUUCCACUGUACAUGAUCUGCAUGGCAUGAAUGAAAUGAAAAAAACAAACAAAAAAACAACAUCAUUGAGGAGGAUGGUAGAGAUCAAAUAGAGAGGAACAAGAGAGCAAAUCAUAAUCAGGACUGGUCUGGUCUGUUUGCACAGUAAAAUGGCAAUAUGGGGUUAAUCAAAUACGGUGACUCUGGAUCAGUUGAAUGAGAGAUUGGGUCAUGGAUUUAAAAAAUGCAUGUCUUUCACCUUCAUGCGGGGAACAGAAAAUACAGCAUAAGUGCAUGAAAUCUGUUGAAGGACAGAGGGGUUUUUAAGUGGACUGUGUGGACUUUGAACAAAAAAAGAAAGAAAGAGAAAAUAACAAAUGCAUUUUUCUCACUUUUUACCAGCAUGACUAAACUGCAUGACUUCUGCAAGCCCUGAACCCCAAAUUAGAGGGCUUGGAAUCACUAAACAACUAAAUCAAAUGGAAACAAUACACAUUUAUGCUAAAUGUUACUAAAUUCAGAAAAAAAUAUUCUAUUUAAAAAAGAGAGGCUCUAUAUUUUGUUUUUAAAUAAUAAUAAAAAAAGAAUAAUGUAAAAAUACAUAUGAUUGCAAGAUUUACACAGUUUUGUUGGAUAAAAGAUAUCAAACUCCACCACGUCUGAAUGAUGAGAUGAACUCCUACAACUUCUACUGCUCCUCCCAUGGCUUCAAGUUUUACCCUUUACUUGAACUCUCCUGGCUCUCUGCUCUCUGUGCUGAGCAUUGCAUAUCCACUCUUUUCAUGGCAGCCUCCAGCAGUGGCACAACAGCUCCUCUGGAGACCUCCGACAUCUACAGGGCUCUUUUCUUUGAAUGCUUGUGGGUCUGAAGUGCAAGGUGACUGCUUCGCCGAAGGGGAUUUUUAGGCUGUGGGUGUGGGUGAAUAAGUUUUUUAUUUUUUUAUCAUUUUCAUGUGUUGAUAUGUUUUCUUAAUUUCAUCCCACAUCUGUUCUGUGGGUAAAUCAAAGCUUUAUCCAACAAAGUGAGUUCUGAGACCACCAAAUAUUAAUCUAAUUAAUAUUAGCUUUUUGUGAACAGAAAAUGUGAUCUGAAAUGCCAUUUUAGCAUUAAGACUCUGAGCACUUACAUUGCAAAGCACUAUUGUCCAAUCAGGAAGCCAUAAUGUAAUAGCAGCACCACCAUUUGAGUUCAAAGGUGCUCAUGAGAAAAUGCUGGUACAUUUAAAUCCAGAAGUUGUUUUUGUAGUUCUUAGGUCAUUCUGUUUGGUUCAGGAUGUUGUCAUAAGCAUUUAUUUGACUUUUUUGUUUAGGUGGUGCAGAAUGUGUUUGAGAAGAUUUUGACAAGAUAUUUUAUUUUCUGGAAAAUUUAAAAAAAGUGUGCAUUCCAUAUAUCAAAAUGCUCUUCCUGGUUAACUCGGCAACAGGUUUCUGAUGGGCAUAAUUCAGGGUGGGAAGACGGCUUGAUUCCAUCAUUACCACCUUUAUGUCUUAGAUUACUCAUGUGAUCAAAACUCUUGACUAUUUGUGUAUUUGUUUUACCAGCAAGAGAAGAAAUGCUGAUUGAUUCUCUCAAGUUGGAAUUCAUGUUUAUUUUAAAUGAGCCUAUUUUGGGGUUUCAUUAUCUUUACAUUGAUUUAUGUCCCUUGCCGUGUUACGUUUUUAAACUAUGUUCUGUUAACCAUCUUAAUAUGAUAUUUUUUGGGUAAUUAUGGUAUCAGAAUAUAAAGUAAGCUUAGUUUAGUAACUACCUAUGCAACACCUAAACAAGAUUUUAGCAGCUUACACACACACACACAUGCUUUGUCUUCAGGCCAGCUAGCUUGUGUCUGUUGUGUCCAGGGAGAAUAAAUAAUUACACAAAUGUAGCUCUAUCACAGUUAGGUCCAGAGCCAGCAUUAUCUGGUGACUGUGCAGUGUAGAGAAGCUGUUACUUCAACCACUUUAAAUGUUAGCAGCUUGUCCAUGUAGCUUGAAGGUGUAACAGAUGUGUGCAGCUUUAGUAGCCAUGUUUCUUUUCUUUUAGUGGUGCACUGAAUUCACUCUCCUAUAGAAGAUAUCACUUAUUUAAAGUGUCAGGCCAGCUUUAUGUCUCUUUCGGCAAUGUCUCUCCUGUUUGUUUCAGGAUGGAAGAAAUACGCAAUGCAGGAAAAUGCUCAUGCACUUUUCAAGUUAAAAAUUACCAUCUAUAUGUGUGAAUAUAUUAAUCUCAGAGCAUAUCUGUAGGAUAUACUGUAUUUGUUACCAAAACUUUCAUCUUACAAGCGUUUUCACGACGUGUAUCACUCUAGUCAUUUAUAAAGUGCUACGUAUGCAGAUAUUACUGAGCAGUAUGGAGCAAUAAUGAUGGAACGCCACCUUUUUCUCAUUGUUGAGUGUUGUUGUCAUUAGGAAUUAGGGGACACGUUCAUCUCAUCCCUAAUAAUAAAUCCAGUGUGCCUGAAACUGUUCCCUGAAUGUUUCUGUAUGUAAAUCGGCCACAUCAGUUCAAGACAGCUCUGCCUGUGAAUGGUUCUUGUGUGUAAUGAGAUUUUGUGUGUUUCAAAUGUGAACUUGCUGAGUGAGACCACAUCCCCUUGAGAUGACUAACAGCUCACCACUUGCAUACCUUUACUUGAAACCCUAAUACGAAACAUAUCAGAGAGGAGCAGAACAUAGCCAGAAUCAGUCUUCACUCUCUCUAUUUCCUGUCUGCAUCCCCCUCUCAUCCCUGUUCCCUCUCCUUCUCUAUUUUUGAGAAAGAGGCUUUUUUGCAUCCCUUGUUCUUGUGUUGAAUUAUAAUACAUGCAUGGAAUACAAUGAGGACAUAACUUGUGAAUAAUUUGUGAAUGGCCAGAAUGAAGUAACCAUCUCUUUCACCUGGACUCUCUGCUCUGCUACUAAUCUCUCUGAGACAGAAAAGUACUAGAGAGAAAGAAUAUAUCUAGCUGGACAAUUGUUAAAGGAUUAAUUUGUCUAUUUUUCUUAAAAAUAAAUUAUCCAUACCAAAAAGUUAUGGCUAUAUACUAGCCAUUCCAAAUCAGUCUUUAAAGUUUAAGUCUUUAAUUAUUUAUAUAUUUUUUAAAUAUACAUGUUAUUUGUGAGUUUGGUGUCUGAUAUAUCCACAGAAAGUGUUUGGUAGCCACCAUUGUAGCUAAUGCUAUUCAGCGCUUCCUCAGACUCAGAGCUGAAAGAAUAUAGAUGCAGCAGUUGUGAUGGAACACAUUUUAUCUAAAUGUCAACAUUUGGAAUUAAUUUCAUUUAGAAUGUGUCUGCACACUAGUUAUUAUUAUAGUAUAUAUAUAUAUAUAUAUAUAUAUAUAUAUAUAUAUAUAUAUAUAUAUACACACACACACACAAUAUAUAUAUUGUCUUUAUUUUUAGCUUGUUUAAAUGGGGGAAUUCAUUGCACUAUCACAGCUAAUGGAGUUGCUGUGUCUACUGCUGAGCGCAAUCCUAACCAUAAAUCCCCCCUAAUACAGAGAGAAAGACUGAGAAAGAGAGGCCAGUGGGAAAGAGAAGGUUUCUAAAACAAUGGAUGAGUUCUAUGUUAGAUUGAUGCUGGAUACAAUUUUGCUGUCAUAACACGAAGAAAGGGAAAAAUAUCAAGAAAUGUAUAAAAUAUAUUUCAAUGGAAUGUUUAUUAUUUACAUUUUAUAUUUUUUAAAUGUAUAAAGAAAAAAAAUAAUAAACUGUAAAAUUGAACAGGGUUUGUGAAAACAGAGACUUAAAAAAAUCAUUAUAUUAAUAAAAGUAUGAAAGUUUGAACGUGAAUGCUAACCUAAAUGAUCAAAUCUUCAUUACAGAUAGGAAAAAAAUGAAAACUAUUAGAAAAAUGAAAUCCAAUUUAAAAAGAAAAGGUUAUUAAAAAGUAAAUAAAAAUAUUAAAAGC